CAGCCUCGCUGCCGCCUUGCAGUUUGAUCUCAGACUGCUGUGCUAGCAGUCAGCGAGACUCCCUGGGCGUAGGAACCUCUGAACCAGAUGCAGCCUGAUAACACCUUCCCUCAGGCCUGCAGGGUUGUACCACUUGCUUCUUGACCUGGGUCUUCUCUGAUGUGGGAUGUUUCCAUAACUACAAAGUGAAAGUAGAGAAGGGGUUUCACCGUGGUCUCAAUCUCCUGACCUCGUGAUCUGCCCGCCUCGGCCUCCCAAAGUGCUGGGAUUACAAGCGUGACCCACCGCGCCCCGCCUGGAAAACUUUCAGUGAUCACCCAAGAUGUUCCCUGGGAAGAGCUUCUCAGCAUGAAAACUAAUUGUUGCCUCUCCACAAACAUGAACAAACUCCUGUCUAUCUUAGUAGGGUUACUAGAUUCUUGCCUGCAGCCUGAGUUCUUGAAAAGAACAACAUGGAGAUGAAAAGAUGGCGUCUGCCUUUGUUGCCCAGGCUGGAGUGCAGUGGUGCCAUUUCGGCUCACUGCAACCUCUGCCUCCAGGGUUCAAGGGAUUCUUCUGCCUUAGCCUCCUGAUUAUGACUUUUUUAAAGUUAUAGAAUACACUUAAGAACAACUGGAAGAAAUUUGAAUAUGUACCUCUAUUUGAUGUUACUAAGGAAUUGUUGUUAACUCCUUACAUAUGAUAAUGGAAUAGUAUGGCUGUAAAUGAACAUGUCCUCAUUCUUUAGGAGAUACAUCCUGAAGCAUCUUGAUGUCUUUCAUUGAUUUUCACAUAGUUUAUUUGAAAAAUACAAACACAUUUAUAGCUACAUUAAGCAAAUGUGGCAAAAGUUAACAGUUAUUGAAUUUAGAUGUUGGGCAUAUGGAUGUUCAUUGUUCAUUUAAACAUUUCAGUAUUUACAAAUGUAUAAUAUAAAUUUGGAAACAAAAGAAAAAUGACAUAUGUGUUUUGUGUGUGUGAUUCUAUUUGUGUAUAUGUAUGUGAGUUAAUCUCCAGAAAUUCAAUAAAAAUCUUUGUCUCAGAAU
rnacentral:lncRNA from 10 species